rnacentral:rRNA from 1 species
CUACGAUGAAGAGUUUGAUCCUGGCUCAGGAUGAACGCUAGCGGCAGGCCUAACACAUGCAAGUCGAACGGUAACAUAGAAAAGCUUGCUUUUCUGAUGACGAGUGGCGCACGGGUGCGUAAC